rnacentral:lncRNA from 1 species
CAGCCGGUAACAGAUAGGCUGCCCCUCUGCUCACUUUUCUGUUUCACAGACACAAGGUGUUUUUGUCCCAAGAAAGCCUCCUGGCUUAGCUGUGUGACUAAAUGCUAUUUGCCCUCUUCAGUGGACCUCUAUUCUCAAGAUUCCCUUGUUUUCUCACCAUCCCAUUUGAGAUGCUUGUUAGUAACUGUUACAGGUCUUCUUUACCACCGAGGAAAGACGGAAUCCUACUAGAGGCCAGAAAAAAUGUUCCAGACACGAUGGAAGGCCCUCACUUCUGCCUGCUCUCUUCAAACGCCUAAAGGUAGGGAGUGCCAGGUCUGCUGCCAGGCUCCAAGGGUGGGUCUCUGAGGGGCUAGAAAAUGCCCCACCAAUCUGGCUAAGAUAAAGAAAAGAUAUGAAGAAAAAGUUACAAAAAUUUGAAGGGUUAAGUUAAGUUGCUGAGAGUUAGUGUAAGUUACAGAGAAAGUAAGGUUAAAAAAGAAAGAGGUAAAAAGAACAGAAAGCUAGGGAAGAAAAGAGACAAAAAAAAAGAAGUUAGAGAGCUAAAGAGAGAUAAAAGACAAGAGAAGAACACAUACUGGCCACAGUAGUUAGGGAACCUAGGAAAAUAGUACCUGACAACAGAAGAGAAUUCCUGGCUAAAGAUCAGUGUGCCUAAUACGAAGAAAAAGGACAUUGGGUCAGGGACUGCCCCAAAAAGAACAAGAGGGGACACUGGAGAGCCUCUUGGUGCUGGCUAUACACAGAGAUAGAAGGGAAGCCCGCCCAGUUGUUUUGUGGAUACAGGGACCCAAUGCUCUGUGCUCCUAUGCCCCCCAGUGGGCCAAUAUCCAAAGACCUUGAGUACAAAGAGCUACUGACAACGAACAAUACUUAUAGACUGCCCGAAGAACAGUGGACCUUGGCGUGGGCCGGGUAACCCACCCACUAAUUCAUGGUCAUCCCUGACUGCCCCUAUCCCUUGCUCAUGAGAAAA